rnacentral:lncRNA from 1 species
UGGAGGUAUAACGGAGGGUUAGUAUAGAAUAAUGGAGGUAUAACAGGGGGUUAGUAUAGAAUAAUGGAGGUAUAACAGGGGUUUAGUAUAGACUAAUGGAGGUAUAAUAGGAGGGUUAGUAUAGAAUAAUGGAGGUAUAAUAGGGGGGUUAGUAUAGAAUAAUGGAGGUAUAAUAGGGGGGUUAGUAUAGAAUAAUGAAGGUAUAAUAGUGGGGUUAGUAUAGAAUAAUGGAGGUAUAAUAGAAUGUAGGAGGUACAGAAUAGAAUAUAGAAUAAUGAAGGUAUACUAAGGGGGUUAGUAUAGAAUAAUGGAGGUAUAAUGGAGGGUUAGUAUAGAAUAAUGGAGGUAUAACAGGGGAGUUAGUAUAGAAUACUGGAGGUAUAACAGGGGGUUAGUAUAGAAUAAUGGAGGUAUAACAGGGGUUAGUAUAGAAUAAUGGAGGUGUAACAGGGGUUUAGUAUAGAAUAAUGGAGGUGUAACAGGGGUUUAGUAUAGAAUAAUGGAGGUGUAACAGGGGGUUAGUAUAGAAUAAUGGAGGUAUAACAGGGGGUUUAGUAUAGAAUAAUGGAGGUGUAACAGGGGGUUAGUAUAGAAUAAUGGAGGUAUAACAGGGGGUUAGUAUAGACUAAUGGAGGUGUAACAGGGGGUUAGUAUAGAAUAAUGGAGGUAUAACAGGGGGUUUAGUAUAGAAUAAUGGAGGUGUAACAGGGGGUUAGUAUAGAAUAAUGGAGGUAUAACAGGGGGUUAGUAUAGAAUAAUGGAGGUGUAACAGGGGGUUAGUAUAGAAUAAUGGAGGUGUAACAGGGGGUUAGUAUAGAAUAAUGGAGGUGUAACAGGGGGUUAGUAUAGAAUAAUGGAGGUAUAACAGGGGGUUAGUAUAGAAUAAUGGAGGUGUAACAGGGGGUUAGUAUAGAAUAAUGGAGGUGUAACAGGGGGUUAGUAUAGACUAAUGGAGGUGUAACGGGGUUAGUAUAGAAUAAUGGAGGUAUAACAGGGGUUUAGUAUAGACUAAUGGAGGUGUAACAGGGGGUUAGUAUAGAAUAAUGGAGGUAUAACAGGGGUUUAGUAUAGAAUAAUGGAGGUAUAACAGGGGGUUUAGUAUAGAAUAAUGGAGGUAUAACAGGGGGUUAGUAUAGAAUAAUGGAGGUAUAACAGGGGGUUAGUAUAGAAUAAUGGAGGUGUAACAGGGGGUUAGUAUAGAAUAAUGGAGGUAUAACAGGGGGUUAGUAUAAGAUAAUAGAGGUAUAACAGGGGGUUAGUAUAGAAUAAUGGAGGUAUAACAGGGGGUUAGUAUAGAAUAAUGGAGGUAUAACAGGGGUUUAGUAUAGAAUAAUGGAGGUAUAACAGGGCGUUAGUAUAAGAUAAUGGAUGUGUAACAGGGGGUUAGUAUAGACUAAUGGAGGUGUAACAGGGGGUUAGUAUAGACUAAUGGAGGUGUAACAGGGGGUAAGUAUUGAAUAACGGAGGUAUAACAGGGGUUUAGUAUAGAUAAUGGAGGUUUGUAAAGAAACGUUACAGUUGGAGUAAAUGCACCACCUACAUAGAACUAGAUUAGCCAAACAUUCCAAGAUUGAAAAAUGAAGUUGUUACUGAAUAAAAUAAAUAGCAACAAUACAUUUUAUUUGUAUUGCGCUUUUCAAGACACUCAGUGUAUGGGCAUUAGGCAAUAUAUGAAACAAUAAUAGAAGUAGAGACGUGAGAACCAUGGUGUUAUGGACUUUAUUUACACAAUAAAGGCAUCAGCCCCUCUCUCUAAACUGCCUAAAGAGAGGGGCUGCACAGUAAAGAAACUGACCAGCUAUACUGCAACAUACACCAACAUUAAUAAGACAGGGAAUUACAAUCCAAUAUCUACACUGUCCAUCACAACUUUUCAAAAUGGC